rnacentral:lncRNA from 1 species
GUGGAGGAAGUGAGGGGUUGAGGUUGUAGAUGGAAAUCUCUUGGGCGGAUGAUGAAAGAGAGCCUCGAAGGAGGUUGACCGAGAGGCAAUGCGGACCUCCUCGAAGCUUCUCCAACAAGAAGACGCAGCGGAAUGAUGAAGGAGCUCUAAAUCGCGAGCUAUACAGAGACGAACACAAGAAACCCUAGAUCUAGGUCUAGACGGUAGAAAAACCCUAGAUCGGUGAGGAUUCACUAAACCGACGGAAUAAUCGUGGAAAUGGAUGAUUGAUCGGUGGAAAUGGUCUAGAUUGGGGCAAAGGAAGGAUUAAUCGGUCAAAAUGGAAGGAAAUUGCAAAAGAGAUAAGGAACCCUAAGUUAUGGAGGUUUUCGGUGUAGAAGCUGAAGAGGAAUGGUGAAAUGCGAAUGAUAAUGCAGAUCUGUAAAGAAGAAUGAAACUUACUGUUGAAGAGGAAGUGAUUCGGCGAAAGAGAAAUGAAGUAGAGGUGCUGAAUCGGGAAACCCUAGCAGAGGUUUCGACCAGAGAAACGAAGGAAAUGAACAGCGUUUCUGAUUCGAGAGAGGUAAUGAAUGAGUGAUGUGGCGAGACGCUGAUGACGCGUGCUAAAGGUUGUAACACUGAUGAUGCGUCUGACGCUUAUUGGAGGAAAUGGUAACGAGAAGUGAGAAGCACCAAAAGGAAAAAAAAUGAAAAAAUGAGAGAGGUGCUUGGAAGGUAGCUAGAGGGGGUCUUUGGACUCUCUAGCCUAUGACUUUCAAGAGAGAAUAUUUUUUGAUUCAGAAAAGUUUAUUCUCAUUAAUCUCAAAAGUACUUACAAAAGGUGUGGGCAUGCCUUUAUAUAGGAUUAAAAUCCCACAUGCCUAACACAAUACAAAGUACAUAAAAGAAAUGCUAAACUAGAAAAAUUGGGCUUGGGCCCAAGUCAUCAACGGAGGAGGUGGGAGAGUGACGAUGAAGUUGUGGCGGUGGAAGGCUAUGGAUUCUGGAGUUGUGGCAUGAUGAAGUUCAAACAAAACCACCUUCAAAUACCAUAUUUUCACGUUAUUGGUGUUUUAAGUUGCCACGUGUAUAAAAAAUUAAC